rnacentral:rRNA from 1 species
UACGUAGGGGGCAAGCGUUGUCCGGAUUUAUUGGGCGUAAAGCGCUCGCAGGUGGUCCGCUGCGUCGUGCGUGAAAGACCCCGGCUCAACUGGGGGAUGUCGUGCGAUACUGGCGGACUGGAGGCCAGUAGGGGGAUGCGGAAUUCCGGGUGUAGUGGUGGAAUGCGUAGAGAUCCGGAGGAACACCAGCGGCGAAGGCGGCAUCCUGGACUGGUCCUGACACUCAGGAGCGAAAGCGUGGGGAGCGAUCCGG